CGCUAAGCGUUCACUCUCCGGACGGCUCUGAUGCACACUGCUGUCUUCCCCGGCCUUGUGAUUGCUGUGUGAGUGCGUGUGCGCGCCGCCCCUCUCCUGCCUGCUCUGGUGUCGUUCACAGCAGCGUAGCAGCCAGUGUCCGAGGUGGCCGCGAUGAUCGCCACCCCCCGACAUUGCACAGGACCGGCCCGGGUGUCCAGGAAACCUCCAUGGGGCCACUCGGCUCUCUCGGCCGGGUCGUGAGGCACUCCCGGGGAGGCUGGGGCUGCCCCCACAGCCAGCCCGUCUGCCAGCCGAGUGGGCGGCUUCGGGUGACAGCAAUUCCAGCGCACGGUGACUGCAGUCUCCCAGGAGACGCGACAUCAGCGGCACCCCACCAGGGGCUUUGGACUCCCCUCGGGACACAGAGUGGCGGAGUGUGAAUGCUGGCUCUCCUAGCAGCUAAAGGUGGGGGUAAUUUGCUUUGCAGGAAUGAAGAAAGAAAAGCAGGUUUGUCAUUUGGUCGGCGGGGACAUGCGCGACCUGACACUUCCUGCUUGGAACUUGGGCAAGCUGUGCUUUCUGCUGGAUGUGCCUGCCGCCCUCUUUCCCAGCUGCCCCACUGAAGAGUCCCGCGGGGCUCUCUGGGAGAUGUGUGGGAAUGUGCGUAACAGGACCUGUCUCACAGGAAGGCGGGAGGAGGAAGCGUGAGGGUUCCAGAAGCAGUCUGGGUAAUGGAAUUCAAGACUUACUACCUCGUGGUUGCAAGAUGGUCACAGAAGCUCCAGACAUCACAAUCGUGUGACAGCAACCAAAGGCAGAGCACAGAGGGAGCAGAGCAAGACACAGGAACGUUUCGAAGCACCUUCCUAUCCUUAGUCUUCCCUCCCACUAGACUGAAGUGCCACAAGGGCGGCGACACGUAACACGCAAGUCUGAACCUGGAACGAGGCUUGGCGUGUGAGAGCUACGGUUGUCACUGCUGAGGGCCACACAUUGUGGGAGUCGGUGGCCCAAAUAGCCCCUGGCAUAAAGCAGACAUCAGGGGAUGCCUGUUGAGUGCACAGCUGGGAGCUCACUCGUAGGAGAACCCAGGAGAUCCUGCUGGGAGAGAUGGAGCUGUUCCCUUCCCGGACUGCUUUUCCCAGAUGUGAUUGAUUGAUUGAUGUCCUCGUCAGAUUUCCAUGAGCCGAGCUGCCUGCUGUGGGGGCCAUGCUCAGCUGGUGAUUCAGGGUUCAACUAUCCCGAGCUGCGUGCGGUGGAAAUCUCUCCCCUGGAAUUAGAGAAGGCGACGCUGCCGCAGAAGACACCCUGCUCUCUUGAUGAGGUGCACUGGCUCACAGCCCUGGGCACGGCACUUGCAGAUAAGUGCCCAAGAGCAGCUGCAUGCCGGGCACUUGUAACUCAGUACCUGAGGAGUCCAGGCUGCUGCCAGCCGGGCAUGGAUGCUCCGAGCUGAGCAAACCCAAGAUCCCGUGGGAAAUAAAGACAGUGGCUUGCUCUGCACCCCCGCACCCCCCCGCUCUCACACUCUCUCAUUUGCCCUUGUCAGCGACUUUGGGAUGAGCCCAUUCCUUUAGUCUCUGAAACAAUGGCCUUUAAGACUGAAAAGCCCCUAAAUGAUUAUCUGCUGAGAAUGCAAGUUGUCUGUGACAUUUGUAUUCUAUUUAGUAUUGGCAAACGUGACUCCAUCUGUCUGUGGGAUACGACCUGAUAGUAUGACGCACACACAUAUGGAACGGUGUGAUUACGUGGAUUAACACGUCCAUCACUUCACACACUUAUCAUUUCUCUGCAGUGAGAACAUUCGAUAGCUGUUCUCUUAGCAAGUCUGAGACCUAUAGUGUGUUAGUGUCACUUAACACAUCACCAAUAGCAUCACUGUGCAGGCAAUGGGUCAGCAGAUCUGACCCCUUCUCAUAGAAGCCGAUCUCCCCUUUGUCCUCACCCACACACACACCAGCAGCAGCUCCUGGUACCAUGCUCUCUCGCUCUCUCUCUCUCUCUCUCUCUGAAGUUUUUAGACUCCACCUAUAAGUGAGAUCAUACAGUGCUGGGUUUUCAUUAAGCACCAGGGCGUCUGCAUCUCUCCGUGUUGAAGACGACACGGGCCGAACGGCAUUCCCGCGUGUGCAGGCACCGUGGCCCCUCCCUCUGUCCUGAUGGACACUCGCCCAGCGGGUUGAUUCCAGAUGUGCUCGGGUGUGCAAGCCGCUGCAGGAGGCGUGGGUGUGCAGAUGUGUCCCCGACACGUCCUUUGUGUCCCCAGCAGUGGGGCGGCUGGGUCGUCUGGGAGUUCCAGUUUGACUGGAAGAAGAGAAUGCGAUUCAGAGCCUGGGUUUUCGUUGGUUGUUUUGUCUCUGGUUUGGUCUGGUUGUUCCGGCCUCCUGCAAAGUUUGCAGUGCAGCUGGCCUUGAAGUCGGGGUUGCUUCCUUAUUUUGGCCCCAUCAGUAAGGAAUAUUUCGAUAGGUGUUUAGAAAAUACAGAUGAGCAAAAAGGAAAAACAUGUGAAGUUGCCUGCUCCCUCCACCCGCACUGUGCAAAUGCAACCGAGCCACGUUCACGAGCGUCUCACCCUCUGCCUUCCUGCG